AUAUAUCUAAAUAGAAGAAACAUUGCACAAACUUCUAGUAAUUCUCCUAAUUACAUGUGAAACUCAUGUAUGAUUGUACUAGCUAUUGGCUUAGCCCCAUGGAGUAUUUUGAAAAAUAUAAAAUAUAGCCUUUUGAGGAAGCUAUCAGAUUACCACCCCCCCAAAAAGAUAUUUUAAAUGUGAAAUAGUAUUACAUUCCCUUUCCCCCUUAUCAAUCCUUCAUAACUUACUAAAGCUGAUUAUUUCUUUAACUUGGCUCAUUCAGUGUCAACCAAGAACCUAAUUAUACACAUUUUGUUUAAAGCUACUUUAAAAAAAUAUCUCUUGAUAGCUAACAUUUUAGAGGAAAACAUAUUACUGGGUACCUUCUAUAAAUAAGAAGUAUAAAUAGUACCUAGAUCCCAAGGAUACUGUGUUUAUUACACUGAUACAUAUGUUUCCAUCAAACCCUUUUCAGGUAUCUCCUUUCAUUCAUAAGGAGGAGAGAGAAGAGCAGUUAUAAAGCUAAGCGAAAAAGGCUGGCCUCUUUGGUGCUUGCCCCAGCUAAUGUUCCUCCCUUGUCUGGGACAGCUGUAAAAGUAGAGGACCCACCAAAGUCCUGGGAAGAUGAGAAAGGUUUUCUUCAGCAUCAUCUCGAGGUUCUGAACCUCUCUGCAACCUCUUUUCUCCUGCUGUCUAAUAUUCCCAGUAUCCUCCUUUUGUCCUUUGCCCAAGAUGCUUAACUCUCUCUUCUUCAACCAAAAGCGUGAUUCUUUGAGGAUGUAGCAGCAUUUCUUAAAACGAGAUCAUCAGCAAAUUUUGUUUAAUAUAAAACUGAAAUGAAACAACUAAAUGAAGAAGACAACGUUAAAGUGUAGUUUUGUUAGCUAAAUGUGUAUUUUAUAUUUGGUCAGUAGAAUAUAUCCAGAAAUAGAGAAAGUCUGCUAUUUAGUAAUUUAGUGAAACUGUAAAUGUUGUUACAGCAUAUGUUGAUAUGUCUUGGAGUGUGCUUCCAUUAUACUCAUUUUUUGAAGUUUGAGAUCCACUGUAGUCAAAUGUAGUCAGUGGGAUUUCCAGAGAAGUCAGUCCUGUUUCUCUUAUAAUGCACGUUCCUUGAAGGAAAUACUAUAUCUAAGAUAUCAGUUUCUCACAAAAUACCUACCCUAGGUCUUUUAACAGAAGAUAUUUGUUGAAGAAAGUGAGGACAGGAUUCUUGUCAUCUACAACUCAGACACAGCCCUCAAAACGCCUACAUUUUAACCCAGAUAUUAGACCUACACUGUCCACCAUCCUACAAAGCCUUAUUUGCAACCACCUGUUGGAUAUCUACACAUGAGUCCUUCUUAAGCGUUUUAAACUUUAUGUGACUAAAACUCAACUCACUUUCUUUUCAUUCAAAUCCGUAUAUUUUCUUCUGUAAUAUAAAAAUACCUCUCUAAGCUCCAGAAUCUGCCUCCAUGUCUCAACAAGACUCUGCAGUUGCUCUUGUAUCCUUUCCAUCUUCAUUCCCUUCUGUUUGUGCAGAGGCCCUGUCUCAAGUCCUUGUUUCCUCUUCCCAGUGAUUAGAAUAACUUUUCUUCUAAUUCCAGUGCCUUCUUUGUGUGGUCCCAUUAUAAAUACGCCAGAGCCAUCUUCUAAAGUUCUUCAAAAAUCUAGUUUCAUCCCUGCUCUUUACAAUCUUCAUUGGCUUCCCACUGGCUUGGCAUUGAACGCUUUUCCUCAGGUAUCAUACAAUUCAGCUAACCUCAACCCAACCUCCCUCUGUUCUCAUUGUUUUCUUCUGUUUUCUUACUCUCUCCCCUAUUUCUGCCUAUUUAUCCAAGACUUCUCGGUAACAGUUGAUCCUAGUUUUCUCUCCCCUAUUCCUCCAGACAUCUAGUCUCUCCGUCCUCUGUGCUCCCACAGCCUUUAGUUCAUAAACUUUCUUACGGUGCUUAUCCAUUCUGUUCUUGAGAACAGCAACGGUAUCUUGUUCAUUUGAGAUUCCCCCCAGCAUCUGGCGGAAUGCCUUGCAUGGAGUGGACACUCACUAUUUUUUGGUGAAUUAAAUUACUUCAAAUGGAUCCCUUCUGAUUCUUUUUUUUUUUUUUUCUUGAGGGCCUCCAAUACAUAAAUAUUCUGGAGCCUAUACCAUUUUUAAUGUUAUUUUCUAAAGGAAAAUUUUAUCUAUGACUUUUUCCCACUUUGAGAUAAUUUCUAGUAGAUUUUUUUUAAAGAUACUAGAAAAUUUUCAAAAAGCCAAA
ensembl:lncRNA